GACGAACGCUGGCGGCGUGCUUAACACAUGCAAGUCGAACGGGCCUGUCUUCUUUUUUGGGGGUGGGUUGAGUGGCGAACGGGUGAGUAUCACGUGAGUAACCUGCCCUUCGGUCCUGGAUAACCGCUUGAAAGGGCGGCUAAUACGGGGUGGUCCGGUUGGUCCGCAUGGGCUGGUCGGGAUAGAUUCACUGUUUUUGGUGUUUCGGCGGGGGAUGGGCUCGCGGCCUAUCAGCUUGUUGGUGGGGUGAUGGCCUACCAAGGCGGUGACGGGUAGCCGGGCGGAGGGGGUGGGCGGCCACACUGGGACUGAGGUACGGCCCAGACUCCUGCGGGAGGCAGCAGUGGGGGGUAUUGCACAAUGGGCGGAAGCCUGAUGCAGCGACGUCGCGUGAGGGAUGGAGGCCUUCGGGUUGUGAACCUCUGUUUCCGGUGGUGAAGGCCCUGUCCGUGUGGUGGGGUUGACGGUAGCCGGGGAUGAAGCGCCGGCUAACUACGUG
rnacentral:rRNA from 1 species